GGCAGUGGUGGCCCAAUAGUUAAGGCGCUAGGUUACUGAUCCGAAGGUCAGGGGUUCAAGCCUCAGCACUGCCA